GUAGGUGGCGAGCGUUGUCCGGAAUUAUUGGGCGUAAAGCGCGCGCAGGCGGUUCUUUAAGUCUGAUGUGAAAGCCCACGGCUCAACCGUGGAGGGUCAUUGGAAACUGGAGAACUUGAGUACAGAAGAGGAAAGCGGAAUUCCACGUGUAGCGGUGAAAUGCGUAGAGAUGUGGAGGAACACCAGUGGCGAAGGCGGCUUUCUGGUCUGUAACUGACGCUGAGGCGCGAAAGCGUGGGGGAGCAAACAGGAUUAGAUACCCUGGUAGUCCACGCCGUAAACGAUGAGUGCUAAGUGUUAGGGGGUUUCCGCCCCUUAGUGCUGCAGCUAACGCAUUAAGCACUCCGCCUGGGAGUACGGCCGCAAGGCUG
rnacentral:rRNA from 1 species